rnacentral:ncRNA from 2 species
ACCUUAUCAAGAGAGGUGGAGGGAAAGGCCCUGUGAAACCCGGCAACCGGCUGAAAAGCGAAGGUGCCAAUUCCUGCAAGUUGCAUUACUUGACAGAUGAGGG